rnacentral:misc_RNA from 1 species
UAUAUCAACGUACAGGCAUCCUUUCAGAAAUCUUCAUUUGAAAAAAUGAGUGGACCGGUGGGAUCAAUAGCCAAGUACUACCAGAAGUACUUGGAAGUCUUGACAUUACCCAUGUUAUAUUUUGCAUUCAAUAUGCCCCAGGGGAAUUUAGUGUAUUGGCUUACCAAUAGUUCGAUGACUUAUAUUCAGCAACUAUAUCUAAAGCAUCCAGAUGUUCGCAAGAAACUGGGGCUACCUCAGAAGGAGCAACUAUCUCUAAAGCAUCCAGAUGCUCACAAGAAACUGGGGUUACCUCAGAAGGAUCCUCAAUUAGA